GUGCUGUCUCUGUGUGCAACACAAGGAGAUUUUCUCUCCAGAAUCUGCAAAAACUCGGAAAGCUUCUGACUAUUUGUUGCUCAUAAAUGGUUAGCAAAUCUGACUGCGUAUCCCACUUUUCAAUGCAUAAAUCUGGUGUGUUGGUAAACUCCAUUUUACUUGUGUGCCAUUUGGAUUUUAAUGAGCCAGAUUCCAGGCGUUAGCUUCUGGGAAUGUAUAUGAGGUCAUUAUGUACGUGGAUUUCAUAUGGGGGCACUGAAGUUAGCCAGCCACAGGUGAUCUGUUCUUCACACUGACCACCAGAAGAGGUAAGAUCGGCAGGGAAUGACUCAGGGAAUGGUUUUAGACUGAGACAGGGGAGGUUUAGGUUGGAUAUGAGGAGGAAGUUUUUCCCCCAGAGGGUGGUGACGCACUGAACAGGUUGCCCAAGGAGGCUGUGGAUGCCCCAUCCCUGCAGGCAUUCAAGGCCAGGCUGGAUGUGGCUCUGGGCAGCCUGGGCUGCUGGUUGGCGACCCUGCACAUAGCAGGGGGUUGGAACUGGAUGAGUGUUGUGGUGUUUUUCAACCCAGGCCAUUCUAGGAUUGAUUCAGUGAGCAUCUAAACAACUCUUGAGCACCUCCAGGGAUGACGUGGAGCGUCUCCAGGGACAGGACACCCACCACCUCUCUGCACAAUCUGUGCCAUCAGAUCAUUUCUGUGGGGCUCUUCUGGUUGUGCUCCAUCAGGUCCUUAUCUCUCCUGUACUGAGGACUCCUACAUCUGGACGCAGUACUCCAGAUGGGGUCUCAACAACACAUGGCACUGCACUAUUUAGGGAGGUCUCCAAAGAGGAAGAGGAAGCUGGGAGCUGUCAGGUGACACGGAUAUUCUCACCAAGGUUAUGGUGGAAAUUCAGGGUUAAAGACAAAGAGAAACCUUUAGGAAAGAGCUGAGAAGUUAUCCUAACGGGAACGCAGAGUGCUGCGUAUACCACCAAAUGUCUGGUUGGUAACAGAGUUUAUCUGGGCUCUGUUCAAAAACUAUUUUUGUUUUCUAUACGAACGAGUUGGAGAUACACUUCCA
ensembl:lncRNA